AUACGAACACGGCGUCAAUCAUGAGCCGACACGUCUCAGCGCUGCUGUACGCACACAUCAUCGUGUUGCUAUGUGUUGAGUUUGAAAGAACCUCGGGGCAGACUCCACCACAUGGUUCAGAUUACUCGGUACUGGGGGUGUUCGAUGCCGCAACCCUGACCUGCAAGACGAACAUCACGGGCUCGACGCCGCCUCUGAAUGUUCGAGUUGACACCGAAAUGUUUCUCACGGUAGCGAAUGGGACAUGCUACAAAUUGCUGUGCUUCCCACCAAACGGAAUCAUCUUUUUUUACAGAAACUGCGACUGCCGACCAUACAAUAAACCCAAUUGCGAAAUGGAAUACCAGUCGAAUGAAGCAUUCUCCGAUUGUUGCAACAAGGUGGAAGUGUGUAAUUGAACCCAAUCGUCAAGAGGAGUGGGUCACCGAGAUAAUUCUCUGAAUUGAUUUCACUGAAUAAAUGAGCGUCGGACUUGACAGUCUA